rnacentral:rRNA from 1 species
UACGUAGGGCGCAAGCGUUGUCCGGAAUUAUUGGGCGUAAAGAGCUCGUAGGCGGCUUGUCGCGUCGGAUGUGAAAGCCCGGGGCUUAACCCCGGGUCUGCAUUCGAUACGGGCAGGCUAGAGUUCGGUAGGGGAGAUCGGAAUUCCUGGUGUAGCGGUGAAAUGCGCAGAUAUCAGGAGGAACACCGGUGGCGAAGGCGGAUCUCUGGGCCGAUACUGACGCUGAGGAGCGAAAGCGUGGGGAGUGAACAGG